GGGCUUCAUGCAUACCCUGUGAUUGUGGGAACCUUAGAGCUUACCCUUUUUUCCAUAGUGAGCCCAAGCUGGCCUUCUUACUAAGACGGCCUUAGAGUUUCGACCUCUCACCUCAGUGCCCAGAAAAUACCUUUCCAACCAAUGGGACCUGAGAACACCCUGCUUUUAGCUCAUAAUGAAUAUGGUACCAAGCUGAAACCUAAAAUCAGGCCACCUGUCUUGAAUCUGGUCAAGAGAAAUGGAAUGUCUCUGUCUUUCAUUCAUAGACCUACUCAGCUGAACACACACUUGCAGACUCAACAAAGCUCAGGACACUCACUCAGCAGGGUUGAAGAGCAUUCUGAUUGCCAUCUGGACUCCAGAAGAUCCAAGUCAAGACCUCUUUAGAUCAACAUAUGCUGGAGGAGAACCUGAGCCAAAGAUCUCCAUGGAGCAUCUCAGAAGAAUUCUAAGAGUGUUGCCAUGCCUACCAUAUGGAUGAUGCACAUAUUCUAGACUGUGACGCAGAACUGGAAGUUGAUGAGUGAGUCCUGGGACCUUCUUUAUACAAGAGAGUUCAGGAUUUCUGUUUUCUGUCUAAGAGGGACUGGAAUCUUCAGCAAUCUAUUCAAAUCUCCCUGAGACUUCUCUCUCUCUCUCUGAAGAAUAAGCCCUGACACACUCCUCUUAUGUCCAAGAGUGCCUUGAUAUAGCUCCUCGUCAGACACAAGGGCUCUUCUAUCCAAGUGGGCAUCAGCCAUGCCCUGGCUCACCAAGGGAAACUGAAAAAUAAAUCAUGAA
rnacentral:lncRNA from 1 species